AGUUUGAUUAUGGCUCAGAUUGAACGCUGGCGGGAUGCUUUACACAUGCAAGUCCGAACGGCAGGCACGGACUUCGGUCUGGUGGCGAGUGGCGAACAGGUGAGUAAUGUAUCGGAACACGUGCACCUGAAAGUAGCGGGGAUAACUACGCGAAAGCGUAGCUAAUACCGCAUACCUUUCGGGGGAAAGCGGGGGACCUUCGGGCCUCGCACUAUUAGAAGCGGCCGAUAUCGGAUUAGCUAGUUGGUGGGGUAACGGCUCACCAAGGCGACGAUCCGUAGCUGGUUUUGAGAGGACGACCAGCCACACUGGGACUGAGACACGGCCCAGACUCCUACAGGGAGGCAGCAGUGGGGGUACCUGGACAAUGGAAACCCUGAUCCAGCCAUCCCGCGUGUGCGAUGAAGGCCUUCAGAUUUGUAAAGCACUUGUGGAAAAAGAAAACGGCACAGGAUAAUACCCCGUGCAACUGACAGUACCUGCAGAAUAAGCACCGGCUAACUACGUGCCAGCAGCCGCGGUAAUACGUAGGGUGCAAGCGUUAAUCAAAUUACUGGGCGUAAAGCGUGCGCAGGCGGUUCCGGAAGAAAGAUGUGAAAUCCAGAGCUUAACUUUGGAACUGCAUUUUUAACUACCGAGCUAGAGUGUGUCAGAGGGAGGUGGAAUUCCGCGUGUAGCAGUGAAAUGCGUAGAUAUGCGGAGGAACACCGAUGGCGAAGGCAGCCUCCUGGGAUAACACUGACGCUCAUGCACAACGUGGGGAGCAAACAGGAUUAGAUACCCUGGUAGUCCACGCCUAAACGAUGUCAACUAGCUGUUGGGGCCUUCGGGCCUUGGUAGCGCAGCUAACGCGUGAAGUUGACCGCCUGGGGGAAGUACGGUCGCAAGAUUAAAACUCAAAGGAAUUGACGGGGACCCGCACAAGCGGUGGAUGAUGUGGAUUAAUUCGAUGCAACGCGAAAAACCUUACCUACCCUUUCCAGCAUGUCUGGAAUCCCGAAGAGAUUUGGGAGUGCUCGCAAGAGAACCGGAACACAGGUGCUGCAUGGCUGUCGUCGGCUCGUGUCGUGAGAUGUUGGGUUAAGUCCCGCAACGAGCGCAACCCUAGUCAUUAGUUGCUACGAGGCACUCUAAUGAGACUGCCGGUGACAAACCGGAGGAAGGUGGGGAUGACGUCAAGUCCUCAUGGCCCUUAUGGGUAGGGCUUCACACGUCAUACAAUGGUCGGGACAGAGGGUCGCCAACCCCGCGAGGGGCCAAUCCGAGAAACCCGAUCGUAGUCCGGAUCACAGUCUGCAACUCGACUGCGUGAAGUCGGAAUCGCUAGUAAUCGCGGAUCAGCAUGUCGCGGUGAAUACGUUCCCGGGUCUUGUACACACCGCCCGUCACACCAUGGGAGUGGGUUUUACCAGAAGUAGUUAGCCUAACCGUAAGGGAGGGCGAUUACCACGGUAGGAUUCAUGACUGGGGUGAAGUCGUAACAAGGUAG
rnacentral:rRNA from 1 species